UUUUAUUCACUGUUCUGUAACUAAAAUUGGAACAAUACAGAGAAAAUUAGCAUGACCCCUGCACAAGGAUGACACACAAAUUUGUGAAGCGCUCCUUGUUUUU